UAUUAAAAAAUUAUUCAUUUUUAUUAUUAAAAACUAACGAGAUUGACAAAAUAACUCAAUAAUUACACGUGGUGUGUCAUGUAUAUCUCAUUCUAAUCUAUGGGAACUAGUUUUUAACAGUAUAAAUGGAUGAAAUUUUUAACA
rnacentral:pre_miRNA from 1 species